UGGGGAAUUUUGGACAAUGGGCGAAAGCCUGAUCCAGCAAUGCCGCGUGUGUGAAGAAGGCCUUCGGGUUGUAAAGCACUUUUGUCCGGAAAGAAAUCCUUGGCUCUAAUACAGUCGGGGGAUGACGGUACCGGAAGAAUAAGCACCGGCUAACUACGUGCCAGCAGCCGCGGUAAUACGUAGGGUGCAAGCGUUAAUCGGAAUUACUGGGCGUAAAGCGUGCGCAGGCGGUUUGCUAAGACCGAUGUGAAAUCCCCGGGCUCAACCUGGGAACUGCAUUGGUGACUGGCAGGCUAGAGUAUGGCAGAGGGGGGUAGAAUUCCACGUGUAGCAGUGAAAUGCGUAGAGAUGUGGAGGAAUACCGAUGGCGAAGGCAGCCCCCUGGGCCAAUACUGACGCUCAUGCACGAAAAGCGUGGGGAGCAAAACAGGAUUAGAUACCCUGGUAGUCCACGCCCUAAACGAUGUCAACUAGUUGUUGGGGAUUCAUUUCCUUAGUAACGUAGCUAACGCGUGAAGUUGACCGCCUGGGGAGUACGGUCGCAAGAUUAAAACUCAAUGAAUUG
rnacentral:rRNA from 1 species